CACUCUUUAAAUUAAGCCCAAAUACGCGCUCACUCACUUGGUCGACGCUCUCUUGAUUGAAACGGCGUCUCGCCGUGGGCCACCGCGCCGGCCGUCACCCCCGGGCGGCGGUGGCCACCAAAGCCAACCAUAGGGAUGUCAGAAUGACCGUCUAUCCAGGCUCUACCCAAUUCCAAUGUCAAUUUCACAUAAUAUGGCCUCUAAAUCCCUAACCGAUCUUGAACGUCCCAAGAACCCUAACCUGGAAAGCUCUAAUUAAACUCUAUCCUCACUAAUUCAAAGCCCCAGGUGAGAGGGCUUUGAAUCCUCUCAUCAUGCUCUACAUGUUGGUGACAAAGAAAUGGGAAAACGUGAAGGUUCCAGAAGUACCUUGCCGGAUAAGACGAUUUGUCGACGAUGAGCUUCCAGGUAAAUGGUUCUGAAUCUUUCUCUCUUGCCUUAGCUUUCAAAUUCUCCACCUUCUUCUUCUUCUUAUGGAUCCAAGAGUAGUGGACUGAGAUAGCUUUGGUACUAGUGAAGAUGCUUAGCACAAUCUAUAUUGAAUCUCUGAUGAUGAGCUUCAAUGGCUUCUGAAUAGCGCGUGUAGUGAGGGUGAGAGAGAAAAUUCGAGAGGAUUGCAAUGAGUUGAGAGUGAUGAUGCCAAGAAGCUGAAAUAUUGAUAGAGGUGUCAAUUUAUAGAUGGUAGGUUUGGAGGAGAUAUGGUUUGGGAUUUGUUAUGGCUAGGCUUGGAGAUUGCUUGGGAGUUAGUUAGAAUGAACUCAGUGAGUUCAGUUGGUUAACUCACUGAGUUAGGGGUCAGUUCAAUUCAACAUGGUUAAUUGUUUAUUUCUUAAUGUUAGUGGAAUUAGUUCCCCCUUCAGGUUGACUGGCUAUUCUAGGUUGCAGCUUAAGUGGAUUUGGUCUUGUAGCUUGGUUUAUGACCUAUUGUAUAGGUUAAAGCAUGCUGCCAUGACUUGCGUCUCUAUUGUAUUAGACAAUGUUGUCGAUUUGUAUUGCAUCUAGAGCUAAGUUUGCAAUAACUUUGAAGUUGGAUUUAGCAUGGCCUUGUUGUACUAUGGGUUAUCCAAUACUCUGACUUGGUUUGCCUUGUAAUCCCAGCUUCCACAUGUUACACCAGUAUGUUGUUGUAUGUUGCAGGACAUGGUUCAUGCUGGUGAUGCUGCAGAAGGCAUUGCAUUGAUUCAGGUUGAGCAUUAUAGGUUCUAUUUGUGGCCAUGUCAUUGCAAGCUGCAACCUUCAUCUGGAUUGUGUAAUGUUGUUGUUUGGUUCAAUGCUUGUGUCCACUGCUGUUAAUGCUGGUUCAAAGCUUGUGUCUAAUGUUGUUAAUGAUGGAAAUAUCAAGGGUUUGGAGGUGGUUGUGCAGUGCUCCAGUUGGCAAGAACCUGGCACAUAAUGAGGCUUCAAUUCAGCACCACUGUCCAUUGAGCUGCUGCUAGUGACUCAAGGAUGCAUAGUUCAACUGUAAGCAAAUUUGACCAGUUCUAUCACUUGCAGAUUUGGUGGAACUUAGUCUCAAGGGGUUUUGGACAGAAGCACAUGUGAAUGUACUGCAUCGAUAGUGGUCUUUUUCUUUGUUUGGAACAAAUAUAGGGGCUUAUUGCAAGGGAGGAAGUGGAUUGAUCUGCAUGUUUCAGAAUGCCUCUUAACAUGAUUUGAACUGUUUUUUUUAACUACAGGAUCUAAUUUCUGGCAGGAUGACAAUGUAGGAGGCCCAUGGAGCAAGGGUGAUGGAUGCAAUCAAUGGUCUGUUUCUACUUGACAAUGUGCCAAUUGGUUUCCUUGCAGGAUGAUGGCAAGAUGGUUGUCAUAGUGAGUCUAGAACCAAACUCAUGAGUAUUCUUUUGUUCAAAUGGUCAAUGUGAGUGUAGUAUCAGAUCAUGUAACUAUGAUGCUAGGUUGUGGUGAAUGCAACACUAUGUUAGCAAUGCGAACCAAGGUAGGCAAGGCCAAAAGGCCAAGUCAUGGCAUGGUGCACAUGAAGUUGUAAAAGAGCCAAAUUACUUGGAAAUGAAGAUAUAAAGCCAAACACAUCAAACAUGACUUUUGGAUGAUGAAUCAAGGAAGAAAGGCUAGAUUAGGUCUUAGGUGGUCAAAAAUGGAUGAGUUGACUUUGGUCAAAGUUGACCAAAAAGUCAGUUGUUGACCAAAGUCAACCCUUGGUCAAAGUUGUAAAAGUAUGUAUUUUUUCAUGUAAUGACUAAUGUAAUGGCUUGUAAUGGUUAAAAUGGAUUGGGAUGGGUCAAAAUUGAUUUGAA